UCAUCCUGACAAGGGCAGUUCUCCAGGGAAGAUGGUCGCUUUGAGCGGUUAGUGGGCGACAAUCACAUUAAAUACAGACAUGUUUAUAUGUUCAUGCAUGCAAGCCAACAAACACUCAUCGUCUUCCUUGCGAUGGAAAUACCUCGAUUUACCUGACCACGCGGGUUAUAGAUUAUCAACAAACAUAGGGAAUGCCUUCUCAUAGCUGGCACGUAGGACAUCCCUUAAUCAAAAGGUGGGUUGAGGCUUCUUCUUGCUUUCUGUGGUAUCAACUCUUUUUUUUAUAAAUUUUUACCGUUUUUGCUAAUACCUGAGGUGGCCACAUCCUCCACUUAUUACUCUACAAAACCUAGAUUGCAUGAUUUAUUGAAUAGAGAUGGGUGUUUUAUUAUCUCUCCCCAUCAUUUAUAGUCUUUAUAAGUCAGUUGUAAUUCGUACGAACACUGUGUAAGAGUUCUUUCUAACUGGAGUAACCAAUUAUAAUAUCUAUUGGGUUUAUAUAUUACUACCAAUGGGGAACUUUCAUUCCUGCACUUCCAUAAUAAUGAUUUCAAAGAUAUUAUAGCUCUUUCCAGAAUAUGAUACAUAUAUGAGUCUCAUGCCAAGUGACACCUGCUGGUCAGAGGAAAAACAAAUUGGUUUUUAAGGAGCUAAAAGCAGGUCAAAGAAUACUUUCCAACAAAGUCGAGAUUGGAUUAAGAAAACCCAAAAGGAGGCCAAAUGAAUUGUGUGUUAGAAAAAAUGUUGAUUUCAAGUGUUGGGAAAAACCAGGUUAAAUUCAAACUCGAAUUGAAGCCUCUGGGAUAUAGGAUGAAGUUUGGAAUGUACAGAGAUAAGAACAGGCUAGAAAUAGAUCAUAAAGGUUCAGGUUGAUUAGUGGGGAGCUUGGGUGUAUCUGCAACUUGCCUGUUUUGGAUUUCUAGGGUUUACUCUAGAGGACCAGAGGGUCAGGGAAACACACCUCACCAUAAGUUGUUAAUAAAAUAUUUAUUAUUCCAGAAAAUGCAAUACCAUUUAGCAUACUCUCAUUGAAUAUCAGCAGCAUAUGCCAUGAUAUUUCUAUAUCAUACAAGUGAAUCAGUUAACCAAUCUUUUAAAUAGUUCGACAAUAUAAGUUUAUUAUAAAAUUAACAUAAGUUUCUUCUUGGGAAUUUGAAAUAUAAAAAUGUACAGGAAAGAAGAAUCCACCUUUAAUCACUUCUAAACAACAAUUGUUAACUCCUCUUUAUUCUUUCUUCCUGCCUUUUUUUUACUAGCAUAUCACUUUAACAUGAUAGUAAUUGAAUUACUUAUAUAAAAUUAAAUAUCCUGAUUAAAAUAUUCAUUCUCCCUGACCCUAUAUAAAUAUUCUCUUGUAAUUUAAAAAUGUAGAAACAAAAUGAAAUUAAGUAUCACCCAGAACCCCAAGCCUAGAAAAACAACUAGUGCUAUUUUGGUAUUUUUAGGUUAUUUAUUAUUCAGCAUUAAAAAAAAAAUAGUGAUUCCAUGGGGCACCUGGGUGACUGAGUCAGUUAAGUGUCCAACUCUUGAUUUUAGGCCAGGUCAUGAUUUCAGGGUCGUGAGAUCAAGCCCCAUGUUGGGCUCUGCACUGGGUGUGGAGCCUGAUUAAGACUCUCUCUCUCCGCAUCCCUCUCUGUCCUUCUCUAAACAAAUAAAUAAGUAAAUUGCUAUUCCAAGAACCCAAUAUAAACAUCAACAACAUAAAAUAAUACUAACUUUUAUAAUGAAAAGUAAAUUUAUGGUGAUCUCUUCCUCUGUGAGGGAGAGAACUAUAUUUUAAAUGAAUUCUGUUAACACAUAUCCCUAUUUUAAAAAUCUAGUUGUUAUCAUUACAAGAUACCAAAUUAAACAGGACAUAAUGUCGAUUUAAGAGGUCAUCAACAAGUCAAGACAACCUGUGAUAUUUGUGACGGGAAUAAUAAAGCUCAAGAAAGCCAAUUUCUGUAACACGAAAGGUGAUGAAGAAAAGAAGUAGUUGAGUCACCCACCAUUUGCCUCAUCUUUGUUUCUGGUUGUGGAAGCUGUAUGAAACAAUUUCGAAAUCCAAGUGAAUUCCCAAGUUUGAUAUUUCAGUUGAUUAAAUAACAACUACCACUUAUAGUAGGAGUGUUAGAAAAUCAUACUAUAUUGCUAAUUCCGUAAUUUUAUUUAAUCUGCUAAUGUAUGAAUCUAAGUACAGAGUUAGAGUCACAGAAUAAUAUACUUAAUUGUCCACAAGACAUGCUGUCAUGGAAAAAGCACCAAUCAAGAUAGAGUGAUUCAGAGAACUAAUCUUAUCAAAACUGAGUGUUUAAUUGUUUUUCUAAAAUUAAAUAAUGUGAGAAGUUACUACCAGAAAAAUGACACAAAUGCACAUAAAAGUCAGCAACAUGCAUUGCAUUCUGUAAUAUUCUAAAAGUUAGCUUUCUGCUUGAUUUGUAGAGCCUUCUAAUUUAAGAACUACAAGAGGGUUUAGAGAUCAUGUGUCUACUUCUGUGGUUUUUAAACCAUACACAGUAGAGCACAAAGAUUUCACAAAGAUGGGGAUUCCCAGGUGGCUCGCUCUAUCUAUCUAUCAUCUAUCUAUCAUCUAUCUAUCUAUCUAUCUAUCUAUCUAUCUAUCUAUCUAUCUAUCUAUCUAUCUCUCUCUCAUGAAUAACUACAUAAAUCUUUAAUAAAAAAGAUAUCACAAGGACAUCAGGAUAUGAUGUUGAUUUCAUUGGUUGGCUCUAGGUCCUCUGCUCUCACUUGAAUCAAAGCAUGUCUACCUUAUAAUCCACAUAUAUUAAACUUUUGGGUAAUAUUUUAUUUAGAAGAAAAUCAGCUGCUUUAAGAAAGAAUGAAAACUCAGAUUUAAUUUGGGCCUAUUUUAUGUCAGAUAUGAGAAAUUACCACUCAUUCUAGUCAGGUUCACACACCGGUUAAUUCAAAACCAAGGCUAAGUCCUCUAAAAGCGCUAAGUUCUGGGGCACCUGAGAGUCAGUUAAGCAUCCGACCCUUGAUCUCAGCUCAGGUCUUGAUCUCAGGGUCGUGAGUUCAAGCCCCGUGCUGGGCUCCAUGCUGGGUGUGGAGCCUACUUAAAAAAAAAAAAAAAAAAAAAAAAAAAAAAAAAGUGCUAAGUUCUUUCAACUGUAUACUUCUGCUGUUUGUGUGGAUUUGAAGACCCAAGUCUUCUAAAAGUGCCCAGAUAACAUCCUUCCCACUAAACCAUAAUAAUGUAUACAGAAUAUGCAACCUAGUUUGUGGUGUGAAGCAUGUGAACAGUUUAACCAUUCUAAGAGGUUCAAUAUCCUUAAGGUUUGUAAGUUACGUUAAAUUUUAAUACCCGAAGUUUUUUCUCCAGGUAGGGAAAUUAUAACUUGGAUAACUUCUCUUUUAAAGCUAAAAAAAAAAAAUAAAAAUAAAAAA
rnacentral:lncRNA from 1 species